UGGUAUACAGAGCCAGGCACCACCUUUUUUUCCCCGAAAUUUUCCUUUCACCACCCCCAUCCGACGGAAUCAUCACGCACGGCAUACCUCGAGCGUCUCAAUGCCGUGCUCGACGCCCGCACCAACGCCGUCGAGUCCCUCAACGCGAAGCCGGAUGCUCUGGUCACCGCCUGGCGGCCAGGCCUGGAGAAGAGGUCCUCCCCCACACCGCCGUCGUCCACGACCCACCACCGCCGACCCCUGCGCUCGAGACCACUACCGGGGCACUGGCGCCCGUCCCUGACGUCUGCCGGUCCACCACCAAGGCCCGGGAGGGUCUCGGGGCCAUCCACGACGCGCCCACCGUCUGCAGCGCGGUGGCGCGGGUCACCCGUUCGACGGAUUGCCUGAACCAAGUCGUCCCCACCGCCGUCGUCAACGAGGGCCGUGAGUGAACGCCGCCGCCGCCGCCGCCACCGUCUGUUCCGAGCCAGCGGUCGGCCUCGACAACAGGGAGGUCGAGCAUCUCACACCCGCGCCGGCAACGUCCUCCAUCGGCAACGACACACACUCCAUCACCAAGGAGGUCGGUCCUCCCAUGGAGAUCACCACCCACACCGACCCCGAGGUCGACGUGCAGGGGUUCGAUGCUCUCUCCGUCAAUACUACCCCAGCGACGGGUGUGGUGGACCACAGCGUGAGCUUCCUCGUCCCCGGCGACCCUGCUGCACUGACGCUGACCAGGUGUUCGACGAAAUACUCCUGUCGCGACACCAACAGACUGAGGUAUGCGCUCCACCCGGCUACCACACCCUCGUGCCUGGUGCUACAACCAAAGCCAUGGCCGUCGUUUUGGAGGGAUCAUGCAGAGGAAACCAAUUUACGGCCGCUUCCUUGGCCGUCGUUUUCAGUGGGGAGGUUCCUGGAGCAUCCAUAUUUGAUUGUCCAGUUGCAUGGCAUUGGGUUAAAUACUAGUUCCAUUCCUAAGAAACACUUUCAUGUUGGAGAUACAUGUGAGUGGCGGUAUAUCCUCAUUGGACACUACAUAAGGAUAUUCUCUGGUCUGUUCUUGUGCUUGUGGUCCUUGAAACAGGACAAUGUGGACUCAGAAUUCAGUAAGCAUGUCAAACUCUUUCAUGUCAGUCACUGGCUUGCGGGCUCAUGUCCUGCAUCAGUCUUGUCUUGCUACUCUGGUUACGCAUCUGUUUCGGAAUGUGUAGAAAUUGGGUGUUCUGAACACAGAACUCUCCAACAGUAUUGGUCUUCAGCUAAGGCGGUUUGAGUUGUUGUCAUCUUCUAUGCAGUCCUCACAUGAAUUUCAUGCUCAAGCUCAACAAGCUUCUUGUGCAUGUAUGUUCUUUCUUUCAACUGAGCUGCAGGGCUAUGAUGGAACCAAAGCUCCGACCGACACCAUGGCCACUGUUCAAGUUCAAUCAGGAGACCAUCCAGCUGGAACUACAGUGGGCAUCAUUUUCAGUGUCAGGCGUUGUGACCCUUGAGACUGGACCUGAUGUCACCGAAGAUAGCUAUGAGCAGACCUUUUAUAACACCCCCUGCUGUGGUAGGAUUUGAUGACAAAUACCCAGCUGAUAUGUCAUUACGGAAUCCAAUGGCAACCUGCUGAAUUGAUUGUUGUAGCUCGUAAAGGAGUUGUCACAGCUACAGCAUGAGACACUGAGUGAUACUCAGCCUCGGCCGAUGAACGAGAAACAGUAAGCUAUUGCUUGGAUGAUCAGGAAACUUCACGAGGAACACACUGUAGCCAGAUGUGGGAAGAGGCGAAAUGGAAGUGGCAUGAAGAUCAAAGACAGGUUUAGGAAUACCAAGACCAGCCUUGGCACAAGUGCACAUGUGAUGCUCAUUUUGAGGAAUAGGAACUGGGAGAGCAGUGGAUGGUGAAGGUGAUGGUUCAGAAGAAUCAGGGGAAGAAGGAGCAUUGGGCAUAACAGGGGAAGCAGCAGCAGAAUUUGUAUGAUGAUCUGACGAGAGGCGAAGUGAUGUGACUGCUGAUCCAAUGCAUCAGCAGAGGUAGCUGGCUGGUGGUUGAUAGUGGGCCCAAUGUCUUCUGCAGAAGUAGACAUAACCGGCUGUAGUGCUGGUGAUAAUGUUGGUUCAGCACCACUUGUAUAGGCACAAAGACAGGCAAAGCACCUGAGUUGAAGAUCAGCCAGCUCUAUUGCCCUGUCCGGUGUAGUUCAUGGCAGCAAGAAAAGCUGCCUGGUCCCAGCUUGGUGCAGUCGUACCUGUCGGAGCAGACGGUGGAGUUGGUGUAGCUGGUGGCGGUGCAGGUCGUAGAACAUCGCAAAGUCAGUAGGUGGAAGGAUGGUGCCAGGGCAUGGGUGGUGCAGGUUGGUGCAAGGGCGCAGACGUAGUGUUGUGCCUGUGGCGGCGGCUGUUGACCCAGAAGACCAGAUGCUCCAGUAGGAGGUCCUGGACAGUGUGCCAUGCCAAGCAGACAGAGCAUCUUCCACACCGGACCACGGAUCAGCUGAUGGUGGUCGCCACGACAGAGUGGCUGGAGGUGCUGAACUGCUGAUGGUGUGCCGGAGGAGGGAGCCGAGGAAACAACAGCCCCCGAAAGAAGUAGAAUGAUGGCGGCGGGCGUGAGACAAGUAGGGAAGGUUGCUGUGGAGGUCUUCAUGGCGGCUCAUGGAUGGCGUCUGAAUGGGAGAAGAAUUAUAGCAGGGUGAUGGCUGCGGUCGUUCAGUUUCCAGGACUACAACCAGAGAGCUCGCUGCAUGGACGCUCCUCCUCUGAAUUUUGUACUCCGGUGUCAAUUUAGUGUCAAGUGUGCAAAUUCAGUGCCAAGUGUCAGUGAUACAAAAUUCAAUCUUCCAUCGUCCUCCUCUUGUGGAGGACUGAAACUGAGGUCGGGCAUCACCACCGCGAGGGCCCAGAGCAGAAGGAGGUGCUGGAGCUCUGAGCGCAGGCUCAGGCGCUAGAGCGCGGCCUGAGAGCUGGAGGCGGAGGCGCUGGCCCACUUGCUUUUUUCAACUGAUGUCGGGGCAAAGAGAGUUUUUAUGGAGGAUCUGAUGGCAGAGACAAAGCAGUUGCUAGAGCUUGGAGGAUAU